GGAAGUAUCGUGUGAAAUGGCCGAAGCCCCGAAGCAGAUGCAGGAGCCUCCGAACCACAAGGGAGUGUCCUCCAUGUUCACUUCUCCCAAGAAAUCGUCUGCAUAAAGAUCUUAUUCGAAUGAUUGAUGGAACGUUUGUCAUAAGUAUAAAGGUCAAGUCUUGUCACUAGUAUGGAGACCCUGCACAAAGCAAUAAAUGCGCAGCAAGCUAGCAAGUCAAGCCCCAUACCUAGGAUGGGAUGUUUGAAUUGAAGAGAUGAGGCCACGUGCCACCUCAUCCAAGGGCUCCCAUUUCACAUGUAUCACUAUAAAUACUUCUCUUGUGUAACAUCAAAAGGCUAAUGCAAAAAUCAAUACAAAG
rnacentral:lncRNA from 1 species